ACUUGCUCAAGAUUUGCUCAAGAUCCGUAAUUCUCAGAAAUCCACUGAUUCUAUAGUAAAUAUAGGAGGGGUAGAAUGAUGCGAACGGUUAUUCGAAAACAUUUCAUCUUGAGCAAAUCUUGAGCAACUCUUGCACAAGUAUAUUUAUCAUGCUUCUGGUGUCAGUCUUUCUCAAGACUUGAGCUAUAAUCUGGCCCAAAGUUCUUGUACAAGGCUUGUCAAUUGAAUUUGCUACAAGUAUAUGGAGCAAGACCCAUAGGUAGAAAAAGACACUAACAACUAUCGAAAUUGAGACCAGAUUUGCUCAAGCAUUGAAAAAGAUUGCUAUAUGGGUAGUCAAGCAAUUUU